ensembl:scaRNA
CUAGCAGCUCAGGUCCCCUCCAGAGGUGCAGGGAUGGGCUAAGGAGCAGCUGACACGUGGUGGUGCCCAUGCUGUGUCCCUGUUGAGCACGGGGAGGUGCCACAUUGGCAUCUAGCAGCUCCGUCCUAAAG